UACGCAGGGUGCGAGCGUUAAUCGGAAUUACUGGGCGUAAAGCGUGCGCAGGCGGUUUUGUAAGCCAGAUGUGAAAUCCCCGGGCUCAACCUGGGAAUUGCAUUUGAGACUGCAAGGCUGGAGUACGGCAGAGGAGACUGGAAUUCCUGGUGUAGCAGUGAAAUGCGUAGAUAUCAGGAGGAACACCAGUGGCGAAGGCGGCUACCUGGACCAGCACUGACACUGAGGCACGAAAGCGUGGGGAGCAAACAGG
rnacentral:rRNA from 1 species